rnacentral:rRNA from 1 species
GUUGAACGCUGGCGGCAGGCUUAACACAUGCAAGUCGAGCGGAGAUGAGGUGCUUGCACCUUAUCUUAGCGGCGGACGGGUGAGUAAUGCUUAGGAAUCUGCCUAUUAGUGGGGGACAACAUUCCGAAAGGAAUGCUAAUACCGCAUACGUCCUACGGGAGAAAGCAGGGGAUCUUCGGACCUUGCGCUAAUAGAUGAGCCUAGGUCGGAUUAGCUAGUUGGUGGGGUAAAGGCCUACCAAGGCGACGAUCUGUAGCGGGUCUGAGAGGAUGAGCCGCCACACUGGGACUGAGACACGGCCCAGACUCCUACGGGAGGCAGCAGUGGGGAAUAUUGGACAAUGGGGGGAACCCUGAUCCAGCCAUGCCGCGUGUGUGAAGAAGGCCUAUGGUUGUAAAGCACUUUAAGCGAGGAGGAGGCUACUGAGACUAAUACUCUUGGAUAGUGGACGUUACUCGCAGAAUAAGCACCGGCUAACUCUGUGCCAGCCGCCGCAGUAACAC